rnacentral:tmRNA from 1 species
GGGGGCGUAAAGGUUUCGACAGGGAGUAUGAGCCUCGGCAAGCGAGCAGCGGCACUGUGGAACCGCUAUAAAAUCCGCAGAUUCUUAAAAUAACUGACAACAAUCAAUUUGUUGCUCUUGCCGCUUAAUUAGGCAAGCGUCCCUUUUGAGAGUACCACGGCUUGAAUGGGGCGUCGAUGAGUGGUGAACGUGAACGGGGAUGAGCCUUGCUCUCCGUCAUGACCCAAAGGCUACCGAAUGGCAAAGCCUGCCAAUGGGCGUUGCAGAGGGGGAAUCUUAAACUAUUGGCUACGCUCGUAGAAAACCGUUGUAAGUGCUUUUUGGACAGGAGUUCGACUCUCCUCGCCUCCACCA